GAUGAAGAACGUAGCGAAAUGCGAUAAGUAAUGUGAAUUGCAGAAUUCAGUGAAUCAUCGAAUCUUUGAACGCACAUUGCGCCCGCUAGUAUUCUGGCGGGCAUGCCUGUCCGAGCGUCAUUUCAACCCUCAAGCCCCCGGGCUUGGUGUUGGGGAUCGGCGAGCCUCCGCGCCCGCCGUCCCCUAAAUCUAGUGGCGGUCUCGCUGUAGCUUCCUCUGCGUAGUAGCACACCUCGCACUGGGAAACAGCGCGGCCACGCCGUUAAACCCCCAACUUCUGAACGUUUGACCUCGGAUCAGGUAGGAAUAACCGCUGAACUUAAGCAUAUCAAUAAGCGGAGGA
rnacentral:misc_RNA from 1 species